AAAAAAAAUAAAAAAAUAAACCCGAGCGCAAAAAAUAAUAAUCCAUCUACACACGGCGAGGGCUCCGCGCAGACUGAGCUCUACAGGGUGGGGGAGGGCUUAUAAAGCCUUGCCCCGCCCUGCAAUUAGGCUAAGAGCACUCUGAUUGGUGGGUUUAAGCCAUCCAAUCAGAGUGCUCUGACAGGUAAAUGAAGAGACUGACAGGUAAGUCUC